rnacentral:rRNA from 1 species
CACUAAGUCACUUUGUCUUUAUGGCAAAUGUGAGAUGCAGUGUAUGGAAUGUCAAAUUUCUAGUAUGAGAAAUUAACGAUUUAAGUCCUUCUUAAAUGAGGCCAUUUACCCAAAGAGGGUGCCAGGCCCGUAUAACGUUAAUGAUUACUAGAUGGCAUUUCCAAAGAGUCGUGUUGCUUGAUAGUGCAGCACUAAGUGGGUGGUAAACUCCAUCUAAAACUAAAUAUAACCAUGAGACCGAUAGUAAACAAGUACCGUGAGGGAAAGUUGAAAAGAACUCUGAAUAGAGAGUUAAAUAGUACGUGAAACUGCUUAGAGGUUAAGCCCGAUGAACCUGAAUAUCCAUUAUGGAAAAUUCAUCAUUAUGAUUUUAAUAUUUGUAAUAUUAUAAUAAUGGUGUGCAUUUUUUCUAUAAAGGACAUUGUAAUCUAUUAACUUUAAUAUAUUUAUCAUAAGAUCAUUAGAUUAUGUUUAUUCAAAUUAUUUUGCUUGCAAUUUAAUAUCGAAUAAAUUCUUUUGAUUUGAUAAAGUGUUGAUAGAUUUAUUAUAUACAGUGCUUAAAUAUUUAUAUUUUAUAAUAUCAUAUUAAUCAAUGAUUUUUAUGUUCAUUAUAUGCACUUGUAUGAUUAACAAUGCGAAAGAUUCAGGAUACCUUCGGGACCCGUCUUGAAACACGGACCAAGGAGUCUAACAUAUUUGCAAGUUAUUGGGAAUAAAAACCUAAUAGCGAAAUUAACAUAACUUUAAUGGGAUUAGUUUUUAGCCUAUUUAUAGUCUAUUAAUUCAAUCCCGGGGCGUUCUAUACAGUUAUGUAUAAUAAUAUUUAUAUUAUUUAUACCUCUAACUAGAGCGUACCUUGAGCAUAUAUGCUGUGACCCGAAAGA